rnacentral:rRNA from 1 species
UGCAAGCUAGAAAGGGCGUGUGGAGGAUGCCUUGGCACUAAGAGGCGAAGAAGGGCGUGUAAGACUGCGAAAAGCCUGGGGGAGCUGUCAAAAGAGCAUUGAUCCCGGGAUCCCUGAAUUAUCGCAUACUGAAUACAUAGGUAUGCGAAGCGAACGCGGGGAACUGAAACAUCUCAGUACCUGUAGGAGAGGAAAGAGACAUCGACUCCGUGAGUAGCGGCGAGCGAAAGCGGAUUAGCCCAAACCGGUCAGGCAUGCCUGACCGGGGUUGUAGGACCGGAGAUAUGGUUGGCACGAUCGGAGCAGAAUCACCUGGAAUGGUGAACCGUAGAGGGUGAAAGUCCUGUAUGCGGACCGAGAGUGCGGCUUAUCCGGCACCUGAGUAGGACCAGACACGUGAAAUCUGGUUUGAAUCUGCGGGGCCCAUCCCGCAAGGCUAAGUACUCCUUAGUGACCGAUAGCGAACCAGUAGCGCGAGCGAAAGGUGGGAAGAAUCCCUUUGAGGGGAGGAUAGUGACCCUGAAACCACACGCCUACAAGCGGUCGGAGCUCCGUAAGGAGUGACGGCGUGCCUUUUGCAUAAUGAUCCGGCGACUUGCCAUUACCGGCCAGGUUAAGCCGUUCUGCGGCGGAGCCGAAGGGAAACCGAGUCUGAAUAGGGCGAACAAGUCGGGAGUGGUAGACGCGAAACCACGUGAACUACGCAUGGGCAGGAUGAAGUGGGGGUAACACCUCAUGGAGGUCCGAACUCACUAGUGUUGAAAAACUAGGGGAUGACCUGUGUGGAGGAUUGAAAGUAUCAUCAAACGUGGAGAUAGCUCGUUCUCUCCGAAAUAACUUUAGGGUUAGCGUCAUGGUAGUUGGCAUUGGGGGUAGAGCGACUGAAUGCGCUGGGGGGCCUACCCGGCUACCCCUCGCAACCAAACUCCGAAUACCAGUGUUCAAGCCAUGGCAGUUAGACUGCGAGGGAUAAUCUUCGUAGUCGAGAGGGAAACAGCCCAGACCGUCCGCUAAGGUCCCUAAGAAUUGCUAAGUGCGAAAGGAAGUGGAAUUCCCGAGACAGCCAGGAUGUUGGCUUAGAAGCAGCCACCAUUUAAAAAGUGCGUAAUAGCUUACUGGUCGAGGAGUUCCGCGCCGAUAAUGAACGGGACUAAGCAAUUCACCGAAGCGUCGGAUAGAGUAAUCUAUGGUAGGAGAGCGUGGCGCGGCAGGUUGAAGGGGAUCGGACAACGAUCCCUGGACGAGGCGCCAGUGAUAAUGCCGGAACGAGUAACGCUAAAACAGGUGAGAAUCCUGUUCGCCGAAAGCCCAAGGAUUCCUGGGGAAGGUCAUUCCGCCCAGGGUAAGCCGGAGCCUAAGACGAGGCCGAGAGGCGUAGUCGAUGGGGAGCAGGUUGAUAUUCCUGCGCCGUGCAGUAGGGUUUGAUGCUUGGUGUGACGGCUUGCGAAGGUGGAUUAGGGUGCUGGAAACCCGAGUUCUGCUGGAGUGAGUCCUAGAAAAGCCACUAAGCUACUGAAUGCAUGUCCGUACCUAUAACCGACACAGGUGGGUGAGAUGAAGAUUCUCAGGCGCGCGAGAGAACGCUCGUGAAGGAACUCGGCAAUUUAGCCCCGUAACUUCGGGAGAAGGGGCGCCCCCGCGAGGGGGCCGCAGUGAAAGGGAUCUGGCGACUGUUUAUCAAAAACACAGGACUCUGCGAACUCGCAAGAGGAAGUAUAGGGUCUGACGCCUGCCCGGUGCCGGUAGGUUAAGGAAGAGGGUUAGCCGUAAGGCGAAGCUCGCAACCGAAGCCCCGGUAAACGGCGGCCGUAACUAUGACGGUCCUAAGGUAGCGAAAUUCCUUGUCGGGUAAGUUCCGACCUGCAUGAAUGGCGUAACGACCGGAUCACUGUCUCCACGAGCGACUCGGUGAAACUGUAGUUGUUGUGAAGAUGCAACAUACCCGCGAUUAGACGGAAAGACCCCGUGAACCUUUACUGCAGUUUGGCAUUGGGUUUAGGCCCAGUAUGCGUAGUGUAGGUGGGAGACUGAGAACCGGAUGUUCAGGCAUCUGGGGAGUCGAAAGAUGAAACACCACCCUUGCUGUGCUUGAAUUCUAACCCCGACCCAUGAAACUGGGCGGCGGACAGUGCUUAAUGGGCAGUUUGACUGGGGCGGUCUCCUCCCAAAGAGUAACGGAGGAGUCCCAAGGUACCCUCAGCCCGGUCGGCAAUCGGGCAGCGAGCGCAAUGGUAGAAGGGUGCUUGACUGCGAGUCCAAUCAGACGAGCAGGUGCGAAAGCAGGGCAUAGUGAUCCGGCGGUGCUGGAUGGAAAGGCCGUCGCUCAACAGAUAAAAGGUACUCCGGGGAUAACAGGCUUAUCUCCCCUGAGCGUUCAUAGCGGCGGGGAGGUUUGGCACCUCGAUGUCGGCUCAUCGCAUCCUGGGGGUGAAGAAGCUCCCAAGGGUUUGGCUGUUCGCCAAUGAAAGCGGUACGUGAGCUGGGUUCAGACCGUCGUGAGACAGGUCGGUCCCUAUCUGUCGUGGGCGUAGGAAAUUUGAGCGGUUUUCUCCCUAGUACGAGAGGAUUGGGAGGGACGUACCUCUGGUGUUCCAGUUGUUCCGCUAGGGGCAUUGCUGGGUAGCUAAGUACGGCACGGAUAAACGCUGAAAGCAUCUAAGCGUGAAACCCUCCGCGAGAAUAGAUUUCCAGUUCGUAAGAACGAAGGCUCCUUGAAGACCACGAGGUCGAUAGGCCGGACGUGUAAGGCCAGUAAUGGUUUAAGCUUACCGGUACUAACAGCCGAUGGCUUGGCAGC